CCUACGGGUGGCAGCAGUGAGGAAUAUUGGUCAAUGGGCGCAAGCCUGAACCAGCCAAGUCGCGUGAGGGAUGACGGUCCUACGGAUUGUAAACCUCUUUUGCCGGGGAGCAAGCGUGCGUUCGUGAACGCACGUCGAGAGUACCCGGAGAAAAAGCAUCGACUAACUCCGUGCCAGCAGCCGCGGUAAUACGGAGGAUGCGAGCGUUAUCCGGAUUUAUGGGGUUUAAAGGGUGCGUAGGCGGGAUGCCAAGUCAGCGGUAAAAGUGCGGUGCUCAACGGCGACGAGCCUUUGAGACUGGCGUUCUUGAGUGGGCGAGAAGGAGGCGGAAUGCGUGGUGUAGCGGUGAAAUGCAUAGAGAUCACGCAGAAUUCCGAUUGCGAAGGCAGCAUACCGGCGCCCUACUGACGCUGAGGCACGAAAGCGUGGGUAGCGAACAGGAUUAGAUACCCUGGUAGUC
rnacentral:rRNA from 1 species